AGUGAACGCUGGCGGUAGGCCUAACACAUGCAAGUCGAACGGCAGCACAGUAAGAGCUUGCUCUUACGGGUGGCGAGUAGCGGACGGGUGAGGAAUACAUCGGAAUCUACUUUUUCGUGGGGGAUAACGUAGGGAAACUUACGCUAAUACCGCAUACGACCUACGGGUGAAAGCAGGGGAUCUUCGGACCUUGCGCGAUUGAAUGAGCCGAUGUCGGAUUAGCUAGUUGGCGGGGUAAAGGCCCACCAAGGCGACGAUCCGAAGCUGGUCUGAGAGGAUGAUCAGCCACACUGGAACUGAGACACGGUCCAGACUCCUACGGGAGGCAGCAGUGGGGAAUAUUGGACAAUGGGCGCAAGCCUGAUCCAGCCAUACCGCGUGGGUGAAGAAGGCCUUCGGGUUGUAAAGCCCUUUUGUUGGGAAAGAAAAGCAGCAGGUUAAUACCCCGCUGUUCUGACGGUACCCAAAGAAUAAGCACCGGCUAACUUCGUG
rnacentral:rRNA from 1 species